UACAGAGGAUGCAAGCGUUAUCCGGAAUGAUUGGCGUAAAGCGUCUGUGAGGUGGCUUUUAAGUCCGCCGUCAAAUCCCAGGGCUCAACUCUGGACAGGCGGUGGAAACUACCAAGCUGGAGUGACGGUGAGGGGCAGAGGGAAUUUCCGGUGGAGCGGGUGAAAGUGACGUGAGAGAUCGGAAAGAACACCAACGGCGGAAAGCACUCUGGCUGGGCCGACACUGACACUGGAGAGACGAAAGCUAGGGGAGCGAACUGGG
rnacentral:rRNA from 1 species